rnacentral:lncRNA from 1 species
CUCAUCACUGUAGGCUCUGAACUCCCUCGCCCUUCAGGUCAAAUAACGUGUACCCUGCUGGUUCCGGGAAGCGCUGCUAUCACAGAAAAACACACCCGCUGCUCCAGCCCUGUGGGAAUACGGCACCGCAUCUGCCUGUGGUCUCUGUCCAAAUUUCCAAAGACAAUGAAAAGUAAUGGUGACGAUGAUGUCGAUGAUGACGAAAACAAUAAUAAGUGAGAAGAAUCGCUCACUAGGUCCCAGGCACAUUGCCAAGUGGCUUACAUAUUGUCUUCUCCUAUGAUAAGUAUUUUUAGUCCUUCUUUCAUAGAUGAGUAAAUUAAGGUACAGAGAUGACAAAUAAUUGGCCCAAAUCCAAUAGCCAAGAAGUCACAAAAUCAAGAUUCACAACAGUUCCCUUUGGGUCUGAUCCUAGAGUUGUACCCUUCCCCAUUCCAUGGCAUUAGGGAGGCGGAAGGGAACUCCCUUUCUGCUUCCUGGAAUCCAGGCUGGCUUGGUGACUUGCCGACCACAGAACGCUGUGGAAGGGACAUUCUGGGGCUUCCCAUCUCCAACAUAAGAAGGUAAGAAGGCUGCAGCUUCCACCGGGCCUCUUGGGCUGUGUACUCUUGACACUCUUGCUCUGAGAACUAAGCAGGCAUAUUUCAUAUCAAAAUAGUAAAGAACUUCCUUUCCAAAGGCAGGACUUGCUUCUGUGAGGUACUGAGCCACCCGUCCCUGGAGGAAAGCAAGAACAGAGCAGAUCAGAGCCCAGGCAGACAUCUUGGAUGAUGGGGUACAUCUUGCCAUCCAGAGGCAAUGCUGGAGCGGGCAGUUGUCUGCGGGGAGGCCCUGGCUCACUCUGGGCCAAAUAACAGGACUGAUUGCAGCCUGCGAUGAAACAUCCUGUUUCUCCCAACCAGAAACAGGUAGAGGAGCUGCUUUAGGAUGGAAGAUGAGGCUUGCUUUUUCUUUCUCCUAGAAGUCAGCAUUUUACAUGAUUCUGGGAGGGAAGAAAGGAGACAGGAACCAAGGAGCCUGAGUGGGGAUUUGCCCACCACUGGGCAGCCAGGCUCCCGUCAGGAAGGCUUUUCAGAGGGAGUGUUGGAAGGAGUCGUCGAGGAGUCUUCCUCACCCAGGAAGUCUUCCUCACCGGGUGAGCCCCAACCUGCUGGACCUGCUCAGAAUUUGCCCAACAGGGGAUCCUGGUUGACUGAGGUCUGCUAAUUCCAACUGGCCUACGCUAAAUUCUCCCAGAAUGUCUUCAUCAUCAAUGAAUCGCUUUCCACUGACACGACGCCUGGAAGAACAUAAACACUGUGAGGAUAAAUGCCAAUGAAAUAAUAAUAAAAUAAACUUUCUUUGGUGGCCAGAGGGAAACAGAAUGCC